rnacentral:lncRNA from 10 species
AGUACAGUGAUCUUCUCCAAGCCUGCAGCGCCUCAGUUAGGAAAGUGAAAGCUUGCAAAAGGCAUUGGGGCAACAAAAUAGUCUCUAUUUCUUAUCAGGGACAAAAUGUACUUCCUUAUCAAACAGAGACCUAACCAAGGACACUCAUAAGCAGAUAAAGCAAUACCUGCCCUGUCUUCCUAACCUUGGAGGGGUCAAAAAAGUGAUGGGUGUGAAAGCAUUUUGUAAACUGUAGUGCAAGCAUACGGCAGGGGAGUGAA